rnacentral:rRNA from 1 species
GGCUUUGAUCCUGGCUCAGAUUGAACGCUGGCGGGAUGCUUUACACAUGCAAGUCGAACGGCAGCACGGACUCGGCCUGGUGGCGAGUGGCGAACGGGUGAGUAAUGUAUCGGAACGCCUAGUAGCGGGGGAUAACUACGCGAAAGCGUGAGCUACUACCGCAUACGCCCUUCGGGAAAGCGGGGACCUUCGGGCCUCGCACUAUUAGAGCGGCCGAUUAUCGGAUUAGCGUGAAGUUGGUGGGGUAACGAAGCCAUCAAAGGCGACGAUCCGUAGCUGGUUUGAGAGGGACGACCAGCCACACUGGGACUGAGACACGGCCCAGACUUUACGGAGGCAGCAGUGGGGAAUUUUGACAAUGGGGAAACCCGAUCCAGCCAUCCUGCGCGUGUGCGACAGCUCUGGGUUGUAAAGCACUUUUGGCAGGAAAGAAACGGCACGUGGGUUGGAAUACCCGUGGCAACUGAUUAUAUCCCGCAUCAAGCACCACAAUCCAUGUGCCAGCAGCCGCGGUAAUACGUAGGGUGCAAGAUGUUAUCGAAUUACGGGCGGAAGCGUGCGCAGGCGGUUCGGAAAGAAAGAUGUGAAAUCCCAGAGUUUAACUUUGAACUGGCUUUAACUACUGAGUCAGAGUGUGUCAGAGGGCAGUGGAAUUCGCGUAGCAGUGAAAUGCGUAGAUAUGCGGAGGAACACCGAUGCCGGCGAAGGCAGCCUCCUGGGAUAACACUGACGCUCAUGCACGAAAGCGUGGGGAGCAAACAGGAUUAGAUACCCCAGAUCCACGCCCUAAACGAUGUCAACUAGCUGUUGGGGCCUUCGGGCCUUGGUAGCGCAGCUAACGCGUGAAGUUGACCGCCUGGGGAGUACGGUCGCAAGAUUAAAACUCAAAGGAAUUGACGGGACCCGCACAAGCGGUGGAUGAUGUGGAUUAACUGAUGCAACGCGAAAACCUUACCUACCCUUGACAUGUCUGGAAUCCCGAAGAGAUCGGGAGGGCUCGCAAGAGAACCGGAACACAGGUGCUGCAUGGCUGUCGUCAGCUCGUGUCGAGAUGUUGCCAAGUCCCGCAACGAGCGCAACCCUUGUCAUUAGUUGCUACGGAAAGGCAACGAAUGGGAGACUGCUUGGUGACAAACCGAGGAAGGUGGGGAUGACGUCAAGUCCUCAUGGCCUCGCGUGUGGUCACACGCCAUACAAUGGUCGGGACAGAGGGUCGCCAACCCGCGAGGGGAGCCAAUCCCAGAAACCCGAUCAGUCCGAUCGCAGUCUGCAACCUGACUGCGUGAAGUCGGAAUCGCUAGUAAUCGCGGAUCAGCAUGUCGCGGUGAAUACGUUCCCGGGUCUUGUACACACCGCCCGUCACACUCCAUGGGAGUGGGUUUUAACAGAAGUAGUUAGCCUAACCGUAAGGAGGGCGAUUACCACGGCAGGAUUCAUGACUGGGGUAAAGUCGUAGCCGCUGUAA